rnacentral:lncRNA from 1 species
ACGAUGUUGCACUGCUGAUAUGGUAGCUAUCUCAGUAACAAAUUGUUCUUUCCCCUGGUUUGAUGCUACAGAAAGUCGUUUCACAGCUACAACUGUCCCAUCAGAAAGUGUACCCUAAAGCAUUAUACGAUUUAGUAACACUGUGUAAUAAAUCAUCCUCUCUCUCGAUAAUUUCUUUAUCGUAUGACAAGCUAUUAUCAUAGUUAAGCAUGCUAAGAAUAAUAAGACAUUGUUUACCUUGUAUACAGGUCCGAACCCCCCUUCUCCUAACUUAUUUGAAGAACUGAAGUUUUCAGUGGCAGCUUUUAACUCUGAAUAACUGUAUGUGUUUGGUCUAGGGUUGAUGCCAAGAAGCACUGCAGAGUACUCAAGUAAGUCAAUUAGUAGUCUGUAAUUGCAAACAUGAUAUAUAUUAUAUGAUAAAGAAUGAUGCUCUUACAUUCCUCAUCAUCAUCAUCUCUUUGACUCUUCCCAUAAAUAAUUACAAAUACAAGUAUGAAAGCCAAUGCCACAAUAGGAACUGUAACACCAACAAUCAAUGCUACGUGGUUCUUCUCUUUAGGAAUGCCCGGUGGUAUCCCACUGACAUUUGGUUUAAAAUCUGGGAAACAAAAUAAAUGUAUUAGAAAGAGAAAAACUAAAUAUAAGCACAUGAAGCUUAUGUUAUAUAAAGAUUCACAUGUGUUAAGGUGUCUUACUUGGAACAACACUAAUAGCCGAAAUGGAUGGACCGUAAUAACCUUGUGUUGGUGUGCAGCAAGUCCCCUUACCAGCCCAAAACAGGUGAAUUUCAAGAUGGUUCUCAGUUACAUUAGCAGUGAAAUUCGUAAUUAUUGCUCUCUCA